rnacentral:other from 1 species
GCGGGGCUGGCCUGUGCGUCAGGUAACUCAACCCCUGGGCCGAUAAGCACUUCCUUAGGGAGCUGGCUCUGACGUGAUCCUGGUCAUGUUAUCUGGUGCCCACCUGCGUGAGCAGGUCCGGGAGGGCUGAAAAGACCGACGGCAGUGGUGGCUCCGCA